rnacentral:misc_RNA from 1 species
AGAGAGAUCAGGGAGUGCAGUUGUUCUUCUGCUACCGCUACUGCUGUGGUGCUGUCUACUACUGUGCUCAUCUUUCUUCUUUUAGAUUCUCACGCCCAUGCAGUAAGAAAGGUUAAAUCCCGUGUACGGGUACAUAAAGCAUUGGUGUCGCCUUAUACGGUUUUAGGUAAUAAGGUCUCUGAUGUAAUUAUCUGUUCUCUUUAUCAGGUAUCCAAGCGAUGCAGAUA